rnacentral:rRNA from 2 species
GCGGUUAUACGAGAGGCCCAAGCUGAUAGACCCCGGCGUAAAGAGUGGUUAAGAUAAACUUAAAACUAAAGCCGAACACCCUCACAGCUGUUAUACGCACCCGAGAGUAAGAAGCCCAACUACGAAAGUGGCUUUACAACCCCUGAACCCACGAAAGCUAUGACACAAACUGGGAUUAGAUACCCCACUAUGCUUAGCCCUAAACAUCGAUAGCGCACUACACCUGCUAUCCGCCUGGGAACUACGAGCAUCAGCUUGAAACCCAAAGGACUUGGCGGUGCUUUAGAUCCACCUAGAGGAGCCUGUUCUAGAACCGAUAACCCCCGUUCAACCUCACCCCUUCUUGUUUAUCCCGCCUAUAUACCGCCGUCGUCAGCUUACCCUGUGAAGGAAAAAUAGUAAGCAUAAUUGGCACAGCCCAAAACGUCAGGUCGAGGUGUAGCGCAUGGAGGGGGAAGAAAUGGGCUACAUUCCCUAAUGUAGUGAAUACGAACGAUGCACUGAAAAGUGUGUCUGAAGGAGGAUUUAGCAGUAAGCAGGAAAUAGAGUGUCCCGCUGAAACUGGCCCUGAAGCGCGCACACACCGCCCGUCACUCUCCCCAAACCCAGAACCUUAAGUAAAUAAAUCAUUAUCACCAAGAAGGGGAGGCAAGUCGUAA